ACUCAACGCUAUUCAAUUAAAAAGGGUGAGUCUCGAUUGUAAAAGCAUGCCGUUCCCGGCCUUUGGCCGGAGAUAACGGAUCCUUGAGCAGUUGGUUAGCCCUAAACUUGUCUUUUGGAGUUU
rnacentral:sRNA from 1 species